rnacentral:rRNA from 1 species
UACGGAGGGUGCGAGCGUUAAUCGGAAUCACUGGGCGUAAAGCGCGCGUAGGCGGCUUUUCAAGUCAGGGGUGAAAUCCCACGGCCCAACCGUGGAACUGCCUUUGAAACUGUAGAGCUUGAGUGUCGGAGAGGGUGGCGGAAUUCCAGGUGUAGGAGUGAAAUCCGUAGAUAUCUGGAGGAACACCGGUGGCGAAGGCGGCCACCUGGACGACAACUGACGCUGAGGUGCGAAAGCGUGGGGAGCAAACAGG